AAUAGAUACCCCGGUAGUCCACGCCCUAAACGAUGACGACUGGAUGUCGGAGGGGUCUGCCUUUCGGUGUCGUAGCUAACGCGUUAAGUUCCCCGCCUGGGGAGUACGGCCGCAAGGCUAAAGCUCAAAGGAAUUGACGGGGACCCGCACAAGCGGCGGAGCAUGCGGAUUAAUUCGAUGCAACGCGAAGAACCUUACCAAGGCUUGACAUACACCGGAAACGGCCAGAGAUGGUCGCCCCGCAAGGUCGGUGUACAGGUGGUGCAUGGUUGUCGUCAGCUCGUGUCGUGAGAUGUUGGGUUAAGUCCCGCAACGAGCGCAACCCCCGUUCUAUGUUGCCAGCACGUUAUGGUGGGAACUCAUGGGAUACUGCCGGGGUCAACUCGGAGGAAGGUGGGGAUGACGUCAAAUCAUCAUGCCCCUUAUGUCUUGGGCUUCACGCAUGCUACAAUGGCCGGUACAAAGGGCUGCAAUACCGUGAGGUGGAGCGAAUCCCAAAAAAGCCGGUCCCAGUUCGGAUUGAGGUCUGCAACUCGACCUC
rnacentral:rRNA from 1 species